AGUAGCGUGCGUUUCUCGUUGAUCGUGAUUAUCAAUAACCCGAGCCCCUAGAGUCGCGGUUUCCCUAGUUCAAGAGGUUUUGGUUUAAGUAGUUUUGCUGAACAACUUUAUUAUUACUGAGUAAGAAGGGCACGUUGUUCCAUUUCCGGAACGAUCCUUGGUUUUUCAAAACGAGGUCAAACGAUUUCAAGUGACCCCAGUGGCAUGGCACUGGUGCCUUAUAGUGACAGCGGAGUUUAAAGUCUGAAGAGAUUUCAUGAUUCCAGUGUAAGAUUCAACUUUGUGAACCAUAACAUAGAGCUCAAGCAAGACUGGAAACAGCUGGGUGUUGCUGCAGUUGUCUGGGAUGCGGCCUUGGCAUGUAUCUGGAAUAGAAGUACAAUAUUCUGGAAUGGCUGUCACAGUCCCCCAACUUGAAUAUCAUGGAAAAUCUAUGGGAUGAUUUGAAACAGGCUGUCCAUGCUCGGCAGCCAUCAAAUUUAACUGAACUGGAGAGAUU